rnacentral:misc_RNA from 1 species
GAUGAAGAACGUAGCGAAAUGCGAUAAGUAAUGUGAAUUGCAGAAUUCAGUGAAUCAUCGAAUCUUUGAACGCACAUUGCGCCCCCCGGCAUUCCGGGGAGCAUGCCUGUUCGAGUGUCUCUUGGAAUACCCCUCACGCCGGCGGAGGCGUGGUCAUGGCGGCGGUGGCGUGCCCCGAGAGGGAGGCCACCGCGCUGGAAUCCAUGGGCGGACGCCUGCCGCGUGGCCGAGCGUGAUAAGACGCACUGGCGCUCGCGCGCGGCGAGGCUGCCGGCCCUGGCCCGCUCGUCGGGCGGGGACAGCAACACUUGGGAACUCCUCGAAUCAGGUAGGGAUACCCGCUGAACUUAAGCAUAUCAAUAAGCGGAGGA